rnacentral:lncRNA from 1 species
UAGGUUAAGAUCCAAAUACAAUCAAAUUUAAUCAUAAAUACUGUAAUAAUUCCAUAAGUAAUUCCAAAAGGACCUAAAUUGCAAAAUCUCUUCGUCUACAUAGACUUUUGCUCUGAUAUCCAAUUUUUUGUGAUAUUCUAUUUUUCCUUCGGAGUAGACUUAUAGGACCAACCCAUCUUAUCAAAACAAAAAUGAAAAUGAAAUCAAACAGGGGAAGCAUUAGAGCAAGAGGAGGGGAG